UUUUUUGGAAAUUUUUGAGGGAUGAUGAACAAUUCGACGUCGAUGGCAGCUGGUUCGAGCUCUGGAUCGGGGGAUGCGAUGGCUCAGAGGAAGAAUAAGAGGCCAAAGUAUUCGAAGUUUACUCAACAGGAGCUUCCAGAUUGCAAGCCUAUUCUCACUCCCCAAUGGGUGAUUUCAGUGUUUGUA